rnacentral:rRNA from 1 species
UACGGGGGGAGCAAGCGUUGUUCGGAUUUACUGGGCGUAAAGGGCUCGUAGGCGGUUUGUCACGUCGGGAGUGAAAACUCAGGGCUUAACCCUGAGCCUGCUUCCGAUACGGGCAGACUAGAGGUAUGCAGGGGAGAAUGGAAUUCCUGGUGUAGCGGUGAAAUGCGCAGAUAUCAGGAGGAACACCUGUGGUGUAGACAGCUUACUGGACCACUUCUGACGCUGAGACACGAAAGCGUGGGUAGCAAACAGG